CCAACUCCACCACUUCUUAGCAUGUGAUCUUGGACAAGUUACAUCAAUCUUUCUCAGCCUCAGCCUUCCCAUUUAUAAAAUGGGGAUGACAGUGGUACCCGUGUUACAGGGUUGCUGAGAGUAACCAGUGAGCUAAUUUGAAUACAAUGUUUGACCUCACACCUGAUACACAGCGAGCUUCCAACUCAGGGUGGGGUUGUUAAGUGCCGUUGAUUCCGACUCAUAGCGACCCCACGUGACAGAGUAGAACUGCCCCAUAGGAUUUUCUAGGCUGUAAUCUUUAGGGAGGAGCCCUGUGAGUCCAACACACGCAUGGACUUUUCCAUGAUGUCAGUUUGUUUAAGCCAGUUCGAUGGGGUUUUCUGUUACUUGUAACUGGAACACCCUGACUGACACAUUGCUUCAGGCCAUCCUCCUCGCCGCCACUAUUCUUCUCUGAAACAGCAAUUCUCAGCCUUUUCCCGACAUGACAGACAAGCUAGGUGGCACGCCCAAUGGCAACACUCAGGGUUACCAGCCUGUCUUGGUGUGUUGGCUAUAAUUCCACACCGAUCCCUUUCCCCUGAGGAAAGCAUCUCAGAAAGCGAGUGGGAGUGACGUUCUUUUAGGGAUAACAGACUCCUCUCUACUCAAGAAAAACAAGUAAUUCAUAAACUUCAAUCCUUUAUUUUUAGCAACAGAUUUUUGCCACAUACCUCACAACUGACGCCAUGAUUGAGCAGCAUGUCUCUAAACAUGAAUCUGACCAAGUCGUCCCCGUCUUCAAAACCUCUCCAGGAGCACCGGCGGCUCACUGUGAGAGGCCACCCAAUUCUACCGUAAUGCCCCAUCACCCUGCUCAAACAUCCUGGUGAUUUAGAAAGGCAUACGCAACAAAAGACCUAUUUUUUUAGAAACUGAAACACAGACCUCAGAAAAGAGAACACAGCUGAGACUUCCAUUCACUCGUUUGUUCAUGACCGAGUGCCUGUGGCUGCUAAACGAGAAGGUGGCAUUUUGAGUCCAUCCAGACGUGCCCCAGAAGAAAGGUCUGGUGAUCUACUUUGGAAAAAUCAGCCACUGGAAACCCUACACGGCACGGUUGUAUUCUGAGACGCGAGGAGUCGCGAGGAGUCGCGAGGAGUCGCGGCUGACUCAGUGCCAAUUGGCAGUGGUGGUGGCGCUAUGUGACAGACACUGCCUCAGGUAUUCGGGGAAUAAGACCUGAUUCCGGCUCUCAGAGGAGCCUACUAUCUAGUAAGGGGAGACAGAAAGCACAUAAGAACAAAGAACUAGAAACAGUGGUAAGUGCUACGCAGAGAGUUUUUAAAAAUGAUGGGAUGGAGGCUGGAGAGCUGCUUUCAGGGAUGCAAUCAGAGAAAGCCUCCUGGAGGAGGGGCUAUCUAAGUUGAGAUCUAGGCAUGAAGAAAGAGGGUUCUCGACAAGAUCACGAAUAUCAAUGAAGGCCGAGGAGGAAACUCGCUCCAUGGUCACUGCAAAAUAAUUCAGCUACUAUUAAAAAACGCUAUUGUCCCCAAGGACACUUUUUUGAAAGGUCUUAGAAAGCUUCAUUGAAAAAAGUACAAUCUUUCACUCAUCAAUAUGAAAAUAAAACUCUUCAUUUAUAAUGGAAAACAGUUCUUUUCCCUACUUAGGACAAUUCAGGGAGAGUUGAAUUCAGUGAUAGGAUUGAGAGCUCUAAGCAGGUCCAAAAUGGAGGGGGAAAAAGGCGUCUGUGAGUCCAGAUGACACAUUGGUAAUUUUAAUCCCAAAGUACAAUAUUUAAUGUGGAUAAACACCAAGACUACAGCAUACAGUGGUUCGAAGAAGUCAAAAUGAAGCACUGCCUUGACAAAGCUUAUAAAUACUGACUUUGCACACAAAUGCCUCGCUCUAUCUUUGAUGGGAAAAACCAGUGGAGCAAAACCAGAACCAACAAGGUCCAUGGACAUGGGAGUGGAAGGCUCUCAGAGGCGACCCCUGUCUAUCCAGGAGGCAAGGCCCGCCAUGAGAUUUGGGAAGGAACAGAACGCAACCAUCAUGAUGGAGCCCUGGGCUGCCAUGUAAGAAAUCCAACUAUCCUGAGGCCACCGUGCUGUAAGGAAGCCCAAGGUAUCCACGUGGAGAGAAAGAUGCCCAGCCAGCCCUCAUCCUAUGGAGUCAUCUGAGCUGAGGCCCCAUACAGCACAGGGUAGAGAUGAGCCAUAACUGCUAUGCCCUGUCUGAAUUUCUCACUCACAGAAUUGUGAGGUAUGAUAAUAAUAUAUUGAUGUUUUAAGCCCCUAGGGUUUGGUGUGGUUUGUUAUGCAGCAAUAAUUAAUCAGGGCAGAAGCAGACCCAAGAUUAUCAACCAAGACUAUGAGAUGUCGUACAUGUGGACUUCAAGACCAACAGAUAUUUCAGAGAAGUGGGGUCAUCUAAUAUCUGUCCUUUCGCAUCUGACUUAUUUCACUCAGCACCAGACUUCCGAAGUUCACCUGUGUCACAGCACGUAUCAGAACUUCAUUUCUCUUUACGGCCAAGUAAUAUUCCAUCGCACGGAUACACCCCAUUUUGUUUAUCCAUUCACCUGUGGGUGGAUGCAAUUUCAGCGAUUUCUAUAAUGACCGGUAUUAUUACUGGUCCCACCUUUUGGCCACUGGGAAUAGCGCUGCAAUGCUGUAACAUUUUCUUUAACAUCAACUCUUCUUUCAUUUCGUAAGGAGGGUGGAUCCAGCCAUUCGGGGGAAAAUGGCAAAGAAGGAAAACCAGCCCAAGUCCCCGGCCUGUGUUUGGCACUUUCACAUACAACGUCUCCUUUAACCCUCACAAUGGCCCUAUGGGGUAAGCAUUCCUAUAUCCAUUUCCUUGAGGAAAUCUGAAUCUGAAGCCAAGAAUCCAGAGGUACUAUGUAUAAGCAAGGGCUUAUAAAUGUAUAAGGUCCCUUGGGUGCUGCAGUUAACAUGCUUAACUGUUAACUGAAAGGGUGGCGGGUCGAGUCCACCCCAGUGGUGUCUCAGAAGAAAGGCCUGAUGAUCUUCCCAAAAAUCAGCCAUUGAAAAACCCUAUGGAGCACAGUUCUACUGUGACACACAUGUGGUUGCCAUGAGUUGGAGCUGACUCGACGGCAACUGGUUUGGAGUCCCUGGGUGGUGGAAAUGGCUUGGCUGCUAACCAAAAGGUUGAUGGUAGUUCAAGUCCACUCAGAGGCACCUUGGAAGAAAAGCCUGGUGACCUACUGGAACAUCAGCCAUUGAAAACCCAAUGGAGCACACUUCUACUCUGACACACAUGGAGUUGCCAUGAGUUAGAAGCAACUCGAUGGCAGUUGGUUUGGUUUUCUUGGUUUACACAUGUAUAAGCAGCCUGAAGCUGGAUGUGAAUGUCAGGUGUCCUUAUAUUGUGGCUUGGGCUUGUCCAGUUGUCUACAUUAACCUCAGCCACCUUGGCCUGAAGGCAGAAAAGCUCGCACCUCCUAUCAAGGAUGACAAGCAUUAAUCAUAUCCAUUCUGUUCUCGUUCUUUCCAACAUGACCUUCUACCUCUCAUUGCUAUUAUCUGAAAAGAUGCUGCAGUGAACUGGAGAGCACAUGGCAUGGAGAGAGUCAGGUAGUCCGUAAAAAAUAAUACUUCUGAAAAAUAAAUAAUAACAUGGGGAUAUUCUCCUAUAAUCUUAAGUCACGAAAGAAGCUAUGACAUACUCUAUGAUUCCAUUUAUAUGAAAUUCUGGAAAAGGCAAAUAAAUCAUAGAGACAAAAAUCAGUGGUUGCCAGGGGCU